UGAAUGUUCAUCACUCGCGAGGCGAAACUCAUAGCUCGCCGUGGCGAGCGAUGAAUUUCGCUACGGCCAGACCUGCUAUUUCCACAAAAAUUCGACGAUUCUCAUGGUUCUAAGCCUAAUACUGAUUCCAAAGUUCGUCCUAAACAUUAUCUAAGGUCUAGGAACACUUUCUACACCAAUUUAAUCAAUUCCUACCGUUUGAUCAUCAAUUCUAGGGAUUUGACCUAGUUUUCGUUUUCUCCAAUUCAAUCCUAAUUCUUGCUAACUAAUCAUCAGAAUUAUCAUCAAUUACCAUUACUGAGUUAUUAGUCUCACCCUUACCUGGUUAUGAAGAAAUCGCAGCUCUCUCUUUGAUCUUCUCCCUUCUAAGCUUUUCUCCCUUUUUCAAAAAGUUUUCACGUACAAUAGUUUUUCUAACAAUUAGGUCUUCCCUAUUUAUAUCUCUUCCUAAUUACUUAUCUUAUCUCACUUUCUCCCCCAAAACUAUCUAAGAUAUCAAAACAGCCAUCAACUAAAUAUUUUUCAUAUUUCUAUUUUCUUAUCAAAUCUUAUUUUAUUUAACAAUAAAAUAAGUCUCAUAAUCUUAUCAAAACACAUCAAAUAUCCAAAUCAACUUAAAUCAUCAAAACAUACCAAAAUCAUGCAUAUAUUAUAUAAAUAUAAUAUAAUCGCCUAAACUCAAUUAAUUAAACAAUUAAACGAAAGUGGACGUUACACGGAUGCCCAAUACCUCCAACAACACCGCAGUGGAAAAAGUACAAAAAGCCAGAGUCUCAAGCUUGGGAGGAUCACUUUGUUGCGAGGCAGUGUUUGUUUAAUGAAUUAAUGGAUAUUGAAAAAGGCGACCAACCACCCAAAUAAACAAAUAAAAAUGAUCCAAUUUUGUGUGAUGAUGACGAGGAAGAUGUGCUCAAGACUACUUGACUUUUAUUGUAUUACAUUGAUUAUUUGUUUGAAUUUUGGUUAUUUGAAUUAAUGGUUUGUACUCUUGAUGCACAAGCCUAUUUGACUUUUAUUGUAUUACUUUGAUUAUUUGUUUGGAUUUUGGUUAUUUGUUUUAAUAGUUUGUACUCUUGAUGCUCAAGACUGUCUAAUUUUUAUUGUAUUACUUUGAUUAUUUGUUUGGAUUUUGGUUAUUUGUUUUAGCAGUUUGUACUCUUGAUGAUGCUCAAGACUAUAUGAGCAAUAAUUCUGAACUUGAUCAAACCAGACAGGUAGAGUAUAUGCUAUAGGAACUUGGGAAACAAAUGUUCGAUUUAUAGGAAAUAGUUUGAAUUUGCACGAGCUGGGAUGUAAUGUACUGUUGUGAUUAGAGAAUGCACGUUAUUAGACAAUUCUGAAUUUAUCAGACCAGACAAAUAGAAUAUAUGCACUGCUUUAUAUAAUUUCCAAAUGAAAAAGAACAUGUGAAUUUGUUAUCUUAACUAAACUACUGUCAGUGGUGCCAAUUCUUUACAUUCUUCAAACUCAUUUGAUAUUUGCACGUAUGUAUCAAUUUAGUAGCUUGGGAAAGCUGUAAAAUUGUUAAACCAUUUGAUGUUAGUCUUAGUGGAAAUUGAAAUUUUAAUCUCUCUCUGAGUUGAGAUGCCUAUAGCUGAAAUUUCAAUUUCUCUUGGUAGUGAAUCAUGAAUUCACGAUUGUUACUAGAUCUUAUAUGAUGAUCAGGAUUGAAAAUUAGAUAAAGAAGUGCAUGACAAAUCAAUGCAUGUGUACUCUGAACCAAAUAAUAACCAUUUAAUUCCCAACUACAUAGGUUCAUAAAUUGAUUCAAUUACCAAGUAGGUUCAUAACAAAGUACAAUGCCCGACAACAUAGGUUCAUAUCCAAAGUCUAAAUUUCUAAAACUAAAAACAAAAUACAGACAUCACUAGGUGCCUUGUUAACUAUAUUGCCUGACAUUUCUCCGCUUACGCCUCAACGACUGGUACUGAGUGGCAGGCGUGGAAUGAGCUAUAAUCUGCUCCAUAGCAAUGUAUAAAGGAGUACCUGCAAGCUUCGAAUUCUGUUCAAUGGAAGCAAUUGCCAGAUCUUUGAUUCUGCACAUGGCAGUCAAUGGAUCAACACCAUGUUCCUCAUGUAAUAGAACCUCAAUAUUAGCAGGCCUCGGCGGAUUAUUAGGAACAUCAGGUAUCAAUUUAGGGUGAGAGACCUUCUAGAACCACACCAUGAUCAUUGAUUAACCGUAGUCAGGUCGUCAAAGUAUUUCAAAUAGACAACACAACAGCUAUUGCCGGCCUUAUCACUGAACAAUGUGCAACCAACUAGAUAGAGCAGGAAAGCUCUGAUGCACCGAGUCCGGUACCAUUCCAUUGAAUCUUCCUCCUCAGGCUGAUUCGCAUACGAUUUCGCUUCGGUCAGAUAGCUCGUGUAAAUACUCAGAAGCGUAUCAUAAGUGAUAUGUGCCGAUCUCAAACGUUUGGUCUGCGCGGCACUUUCCUCAAAUUCCAAUCCUAAGUAGUUAACCAAAUACUGUGUCCCUUGAUGAAUAGACAAGCUCUCAUGAAACAACAGAUUACCUCCAACAGGUAUAUGCAGCAAGCACGAAACGUCAUCCAAGGUGAUUGUCAUUUCACCUACAGGAAGAUGAAAACUACUUGUCUCUGAGUGCCACCUCUCUGAGAAAGCAAUCAAGAGACCGUGGUCCACUUGACCAUAAUUUGUCUCCAAGAGCAGGUAAAGACCAGAUGCCCUUAUGACAUUCCAGAACCACCCCAUAGCAGCAACAUCUGGAGGUAAUGCUGAUUUCAAGUCUAUUAUUCGCUUGGCAUUGUUAAGCACCCGAGGUGUGUUUUCACGACCCUGAGAAAAAAAAAAACCAAAUAUAAAUUGUUAAAACUAUUACUCCCUCCGUUCCUUUUUAAUUGUCACGUUUGCAUAAUUUUUUUGUUUCUAAUUAACUGUCACUUUCAAAGUUCAAUACAACAUUAAAUGUUGUUUUGCCUUUAUUACCCUUAAUUAUUUAUUGUAGAGAGAGAAGUAAAUGAAAUGAGAUAUUAAAUGAUGAAGGUUAUUAUAAGAAAAAGAUGAAUUGUUGCAUCAAAAGUAGUAAAAAGUAUUUGUUGUUUUGGUUUGUGUAAAAAACUCAAAAGUGACAAUUAAAAAGGAACGAAGGAAGUAUCAAAUAUGAACAAAUUAUGGCAUAUUUAAUUUAGUAAUAUAUUCUGCUUCAUUAUCAAGUAUGAACAAAUUAAUGUUCUUUCAAGUUUUAAUAUUUAAUUUAGUAAUCUAUUCAAAAAUAUAGAAAUAGAGCUCCCUUUCCUGUUCAUAUACUUUCUCUUCUUUAAUGUUUCCCAAAACUUUCUCUAAGUAAUUAUCUAAUUGUCACUAUGUUUUGUUCAUUGUUUGUGCAUUUUCUCCAUCCAUUUCUGUUCUGCAUAACUAGUCUAGCAUGAUGGUGAGCCAAAAUAUUCACAAAUUUUCUUAAAAUAGCAAUAUUAUUAUAUAUAAAGCUUUUGCUAGUGAGUUCAAUUGGUUACAUCUAACAAGCCCAACUGCCAAAACCCCGCCGUUUACCUCGUUAGACACUCCCGCGGACACCACCUCCACUCAUAAAACAAAUAUGGUGGAGUUUUAAAUCUACUAAGCAACCACCUCCACGACAAAACCUUAACCUCCUCCACUAACUCAUCCCAAAUGUGCACCUAUUCAAAUAUGGUCCCCUUAUUCCAACUGCUACACUAGACUGACAUAAUUGGCUAACAUAAACAAGACCCUGGUCCUUAAAAGCAGUGCAUGCAUCUGGUUUGGUCCCAAAAAAAAUUUAUUCUAAUUUAAGUGUGGAAUAAUUCUUAACUGGAUAACCGUUUGUUCCUUUAUAUCUCCUCAUUCAAGCAAUCCUUUGUCUGUCUGAAUAAAGGACCCUAACACUGCGUUCUAAGCGUCACCUCCAUAUACUUUACCCACCAACGAUUGGUAAUACCUUAUAUCAUAUUUUUUUCAAAAAAAAAUAAGAGCGGUUUAUUUAAAUAAUAAACUUUUAUCUUGUAAAUAUAGUUCAUAUAGUAAUUGUAUUUUUAGUUCUAGCUCCUAUGUAUUGACAAAAUUCACUAAACUUAUGGGAAAAAUUCUACUACUAAACUAGCACAUUCGAAAGCGAAUAAAAUAAAUAAAAGAAAUUCUUACCCCUCCAUUCCAAAUCUUUGCUGCAAUAUGUUGGCCAAAACUCGGCAACAAAGACGUGUUCGAAGGUCCUCCAUCGUAUCCCUCCUGAACAACUCCCACGGAAGGAGGUUGUGAACCAGAGGCUGACUGUGAUGAUGGCAUCUCGAUAUCAAUCUGAGACUGGGAACUAGAGCCAUCUGGUUCCUCUCUCUGAUCACGCCCACGACCACGUCUCCUUGGCGGAGCGUUUAGAACUCGCUCUUUGCGAACAGGAGCAUGCAAUGCCUCCUUACCACAUCGUGUCCUACCAACAUCUUCAUUAUCCAUAUCUACAACAACAAUUUUUUUUUUUUUUAAUCCUUCAAGCAUUUUGUACUUAAAUAUGGUUCCAAAGUUCAAUGCAUUAACUUUCACAAUGUUCUUAACAUGUAAGUGUACCUUUUGUCUAAUGUUAUAGAAAAAUAGUUCAAUUCCAAAAUCCAAUAUGAAUAAGAGUCUUUGUCAUAUUAGAGAAAACCACUCUUAAUUGGUGAAUGUUACAAGCUAUCAGCAAUGUAAUUUUAAGCAACACACCACUCUUAAAAUCAAAGACUAAGAUAAUUGUGUUCUCUUAAGCAAAUUGAAUAUCUGGAUCAUACAACACACUGAUCAACUACCACCAAAGAAUCCCUCAUAUAACCAAAAACUCAUUCACUUGUUAGAAACCCAAUUCCAAACAAAAACUAAACAAUUACUUAAUCUAUACCCACCAUUUUAUUUUAUUUUAGUUAUGCAGCUGUCUAGUUCAGAUUUUUUUUUCAAAGCAGGCCUAAGUAUAAUCCAAAAUUCAAACCACAUCAUAUCUCUAAACCAAUUUACAUAUCUUAACCAGAUUCACAUUAAACUAGCUUUCACAUGUCCAAAAAAAUAAAAAAAAAUUAUAUGAAGGACAAUGUGCAAUCACAAAAGGGAUAGACAAAUGUAUCAAACAAACAUAAAUAGGACUUUAUAUCUUAAUAUAAAGCAGUCCACACCUCAAAACUAUUCACACCACAAUGCAAGAUACCACAAAUUUAAUUCCAGUAAUGGUUCCUACCUCUACAAUUUCAUGUAUAAAAAUUAGUCAAAUAGAUCCUAAACAUAACUAAAAUAUUUAUGUACAGUUGACUUCUAAUACUCAUAUAUCAUUGACACCAAAAGAGAAUGCUUUUAUUUUCCUUAACCAAUAAAGAAAACAAAUAUCCCAUCAUCCAUUCAAAUAACCAAUAAUCCAAGAUUGCAAUUCAUUAAACUAUAUAUUAGCAACCUAUAUAUCCACACCAUGAGAGAAUUAAAGAGACUAUAUGACACCAAACUAUUCAAUUGCUGCAGAUUCACGCUUAACAUCUUCAAGAAGUCAUAUAUACAAGUACAUUUAGAUCAUCAAUUUAAUAACAGAAAAAUGUCAAGACAAAGAAAAUAACAAUGAAUCAAAUCAUUCACAGACAUCAAUCAAAGCAUGCGUCAUAAAAACACGUCCCACCCCAAAAAUAUUAGUCCGAGGAUUAUUGCUCUGAUACCAUAAUGUAACGCCCCGGAUUUUGGUCCAAGACAUUACGCCUAAAUCAUUUUCCUUUUCUGAAAAAUACUACUAUUUAUUUAUAAAAAUACAUAUAUAAAAUAUCGGGAUGUUACAAGAAGCUUAUAAACAUGAGCUCAAAAGACUAGUUGAAAAGUUAGUGUGGUGUUCAUGAUAAUAGAACAUGGUUAGCAGAAUAGACUUAAAGAACCUAAUAAACAUGAGCUGAACUAUGGUUCCAUUCCGACAAAAGAAAAUCUCUCAUUAGAUAAAGACAAGUAAAAGUGUAUACAAACAUAUGGUUUUGCAAAGAAAUGAAAUGAAAAGUGAAAAUAUUGCAAAUAAAUGAAAACGAGCAUAUGGUUAUGAUACAUGAGCACAUACAAUUAUUUUCAGCAUUACAUUAGCAUCUCUAUCAUUAUUUCCAAAUCCUCGUACUCAUAAAAAAAACAUCAAAACCAAAGUAAUUUAAAAAAAACAAGAACAAGAAAACAAAAACAUCAAUGAUGAACGUUGUAGCUUCAAGUGUUAGUAAUUUCGUUCAUUAAUGGUAUCACAUGAGCAAAAAGCCAAAUGAAAUACCUAUUAACAAUGCUAAUCUAAUCAAUAGGAACCAACGAGGUCAGAAACAACGAUUCUACUGUCCAAGACAAUGAGAACUUAUCUUAUGCCCUAUUUAGAUUGACUUAUUUGAACUCCUCUUCUAACUUAAGCAUUUGACCUUAUAGCAGAUACGAAAAUAAUUUGACUUUAUUUUAUAAUUUGUUAUGGAAGUAUCUUACAAUAAGUGCUUAUAUAUGAUAAGUGUUUAUGUUAUAAUUAAAAAAUAUUUUUUUCAUCCAAUCAGGGCCUUAGUUUGUUUUUAACAUAAAAACUUUAUUGAGAAGCCAACCCACAAAGAAGGUGGGAAAGGCUAAUAGAACAAAGUGGCCAAAUAGGCUUACAACACCAGCAAAGACCAAUAGCGCCUAACUCCUAAAAUGCACCAAAGUAAAAAUAACACGCCCACAACACAGAACAGAAAAACUAAAACACAGCAGCAGCAGCAUCACCCAUCAAAAAACGCCCUCAAAAGAUGGAUAAACAGAAACAGAAGUGCAGAAACGCGCCCAAAACCCAGCAAACCGCAGUGUCUUAUCUACACAAGCAAUCGUGAGGGUUCCAACACUACUCGUAAAAUAAACACAGCGAUGUAUACAAUCUAUUCAUACUCCAAUGCCACGAGACCACCUUGAUUUGUUCCACCAUUUCAUCCACCUCCCCAAUGACAUUGUUAAAGAUUCAAUCGUUUCGUGUCCGAAUGCAUAUAAUGAGAGAUAUAUCUUUGAAUGCCUUGUAUACUAGAACAAUUCUCAAUCCCCAAUUCUAAAACCCUAAAACAAUCAAUUAGAGGAGUUCCAAACUCUUUGAAACCCUGAAACAAUUCCCAAUUCCCAAUUCUGAAACCCUAAAACAACCAAUUGGAGAAGGAAGGAAAAAUUGGAGAAUACAUUGGCUUACCUUACCUUAUUUGAUAAAAAGAAGCGAGAGGAAGAGUGAGCUGGUGGAGGAAGUGAUUCCAACAAGCUGGUGCGUGGUGGAGGAAGUGAGCGUGAGUGAACCACUGGUCUGGGUAUCCAGCGAUUCUCGGCCUGGAGGAAAUAAGAGAAAGAAGAACGUGAGUGAGUUUGUUGUGAGAAGCGUGAGUGAUGCUUAACUUACCUUCAAAUGUCGAAGAAGCGUCAUUGAUGCUUACUUAUCUUUGAGAUUGACACUGCAACACAUGAAGAAAAAAUGUCAAAGAACGACCGUAAGAGAAAGAGACGGCAAGAUGCUCACUUACCUUAAAAUAAAAGAAGUGUUUGGUUUGUAAAUGGGAAAUAUGUUCCUCCGGUAUGUACCUAUCGGACUGUUCGGUAUUUAUAUACCGCAUCCUUAAAAAAGGUUAAUAUCGUAAUUUUGGGGGGCCUGUAGAGAUAUAGGGGGGGGCCUAAAAAGUAACCACCUAUAUUUAUAACACUACCCUUUGGAUGUCCACUGAGGAUAUGCCUUAUUAAAACCUUACUAAAAAAAAAGCCAGUGAAAAAAAAUUCUAGUUAAGGAAAAAGAGUACAAUAUCCUUGUGAGUGUGAACUGCCUCGUUAAAAACCUUAGAAAAUCCAAUGGGAUAAAACCAUGGUGAGGGGAAAAAGAGUGCAGAAGACAUUUAUUUCUCCCCCUCAUGAAGACAAUUAUCUCUAAGACGAUGAAGAUCAAUCCUUAAUACAAGUUUCUCAAAAACUUUACGAUGAAUUUGCCGAAAAAUGUGGUUAUCUUGAUAUCUUUAUCCAAAUUGACCGUGCUUGAGAUGUUAUCUUCAUAUUAAAUUGUUGAAAGAGCCUCCUUAUGAGAAAAACACAAGUUUCUUGCAUGUGUAAAAUCAUAAUCCCUUGCCACUUUUUUGAUGUAACUAACAUUUCCAAGUGCUUGAGCAAAUUGCAUGCUUGAAUUUGUUCCAAUAACUAUUAUCGGCAAAAAUAAAAUUUCACAAUAUAUAUAAUUUGUUAGUUUCCUUGUUUGAAUUAAGAUAUGGUAUUUCAGGACCAAUUCGAGUUCAUCAUUUUCUUGAGGCAUGACAUGAUUUUUUUUUCUUCAUGUCAAAUGACAUUGCAAUCAUUCUAGUACAUAAUCACCUAGAUUUGUCCAUAUAAUAUUAUUUUAAUAAAUUUGUUGAUGCACAACAUCUCAGUCAAAUAGUAAAUUUGUAAAUCCAAACAAACUUUCUGCAUGCAACAUAUUCAUUUCAAACCUUUCUAUAAUAAAAUUUUUUUAGGAUCUCUUCAGAAGUUCUGAUAAAUAUUUAUACCAUCAUCAUAGAAUCGAAUAUAACGAAUACAAUUUCUAAUCUUUAAGAUGGACAAAUGAUGUCAUCUCUCUAAUAAUUUUAAUAGUAUGUCUCACGAAACUUAAAUCCUUCAAGGAAUUUUAUAUAAGCAUCACUAUCAAGUGAGUCAUACAUUGUAACACAUAUUUCAUAUAAAUUAAGCCUCUUAUGCGCUACUAAGCAUAAUCAAGAUAAAGUUCUUCAACCCACUUCAGGUGAAUUAUUCUCUUAAACAUAAAUGAUAAACAUUUAUUAAUUCAUUUCUGGUGAACAUAUCAAACUCAUUCUAAUUCUAUUUUCGCACGAAAAUCAUAUAUAUAUAUAUAUAAUUAACUUCACACCUUCAAGUGUGCAUAUUACGAGUCUAAAAAGUUUUACUUUACAUAAUGAAUAUGAUUUCACUAAAAUUUUCUCUUUCCAAUUGCAGAUUUUUUUUUAUCUACCAUUUUUAAUCCAUUAUCACUUAUCAGAUAUAGCGCUAUAUUAUAUGCAAAAACAUUAUCAACGUUGAAUUUUAUUUCUGGUUCCAUCUCAUUCCAUUCAAGACAUAAUUUAUCGAGAUCUCUUUAUUUUCAUAAGUUUCAGGUAUCUGAUUAGUUCUUCUGGAACAUCAAAAUCAAUUAUGUCAAAUACUCUUAUGGAAUUUCCAUAUCCUCAUGUGAUGCCAUCUUUCUUUUUAGCUCAUUUUCUUUCUUGAGGAUUUUUGUCAUUGGAACUGAAACACCCCGUUACCCAAAAACAAUUAAAUAAUAAUUAAAUAUUCAUCAGAGUAAAUCCCAAACGGGCAUGUCACACUUCUAAUUCAAAUUCUCUUAAAUAGCAUAUAAAACUAUUUAAAUAAACAUCUUUCAUAAAACAACAACAAUUUUGCAGCGGAAAUAUUUUCUCAACAUUAAAUAACCACAACAUCCAACAUAUUAAUUCUCCAAUAAAAUCUUGGCAUAAAAGCCUCAACGACAUAAAUUCAACAACCAAAUAAGGCUACAACAUCAAGUUCCAAAAUUUGAUACAUAGGAAUGAAAAUAAGCAAUAAAAUCCCAUCCCGUACGUAUCAGAGCCCUAGACACUUGAGCCACCACCUACUACUCAGAAUCACCUGCAAGUUACCCAUAAGAAGGGCAACAUUUUCAAGCAGAAGGGGUGAGAUUCACAACAAUAAAUAUAGAUAAUGAAUGCAUCAAUUGAAUCUAAAACCUUAUCAUAAUAAUAAUUCAUCAACAUAUAUAAAUAUCAUCAUUAUCAACAUCAACAACAAAUGGUAAUUAAAACCAACAACAUCGACUCAUGCAUUACUUCUACAACUCCAGUAAGACUCCUCUAGAAUGCAUGUGGUACCAUAUUCAGGGCCGGAGCCUUCACCGCUAAUUGAAUGGUUAAAGCAUUCAUUUCAGGACAUAAGUCAUCACCGCUAAACACCGCUUUGAACAACAAAGUGUUCCACCUCUUUGAACGACAAGGCAUUCCAGGGCCGGAGCCUCCCGCUUUUGUGCUUAUGCAACUAACUCCACUUGUGUAUAUCUACAUACAACUUGACAAUGCAUAUAUGUACAUAUGACUUACAACUCCGCUAAUUAAACACCAUGUAUGAUUUAAUUAAUGUAACAUACAUCACAGACAUCAACAGGUCAUCAUCAUCAAUCCAAUCAUUCCAGAAAAAUGCAAAACUAAUCAUAAUCAUGUUUAAACAUCAAUAUCAUUCAACAUUAUUCAACUAAAUAACAAACAGCUCUGAAACUGGGCAACUCGCCUCGCGAGUACUUCUACUCGCUAUGGCGAGCACAAGAAAAAGGCUGCUCGCCGUGGCGAAUUCAAGGCGAACUCAAAACAGGUGUUCUCGGGAGUUUUGACAUUUUUCUCACUAAAUCUUCAUUUUUAAGCUCCCUAUUCAUCUUUUUAAUCUGAAAAUUGUCCCAGACCUCUCUAAAAUCAUCUAGGUACUUAAAACUACCCAUUUUACAGCUUAAAACAACACUUCAAAAAUCAUGAUCUCUCAGGCACUUGCUCGCGAGGCGAGCCAUGAAGUUGAUCACUCGCGAGGCGGGAAGGUCUACUCGCCUAGGCGAGCGAUGAAUAUCAGCACGACCAGAAUGCAGGUUUUUCCCCAAAAAUCCAAUUUUCUCACUUUCACUCCCCAAUUUGGUUUACAGAUGUGUAAUAACUUGCUAUAUGCACUCAGAACCUAUUUCUAACAUCAGGACAACAAUUCCUACACUCAAAACCCAAUAAUUCACCAUAAACCUAAAAUUUCCAAUUCUAACAAAAACUUGUUAAAAUCAAAAUCAGAAUUCAGAAUCUACACAAUUGAAGUAAACCUCACCCUUACCUUAGUUUUGCAGAAAAAAUUGCACAGCAAAUCGGUUCCUUGGCUCUACUUGCUCUUCUCUCCCUUUUCUCCCAAAAGCUUGGUUUCACGUAAAAACAGUUCUCUGACUUCUCUAUUCUUAACUCCCCAAAUGUAACUUCCCUUUAUUUCAUUAAACUUCCCUUAAUUCUAAUAAAUCCUAAUUAACUCCCCAAACUCCAAAAUAAUAUUAAUUUCUCACUUAUUCUAAUUAUUAUUAAAAUAAACUAUAUAAUAAAAUAAUGCACACCACAUAUAUCACAAAUAUUAUUUAAAAUCACAUAAAAGACUCUAAAUAAAUCCAAAAUAAAUAAAAUAACAACUAGGGCGUUACAGGAACUGAUUUUUCUACCAUGCUUUAAGUGUGGUCGAGAUUCAUUUGUAUCUUUAGACUGUCCAAUAGGGAUGUCCGUUUUUACUGGACCAUUAGAGGAUGAUACUUUGUUUGGUUAACUUUACAAAUGAAUUAUGUCUUGAACUUCUGGUUCAUAUUCAUUUAUGCGAGGAUCAAGAUGAGAUGAAAAUAAUUCAUUUGAAGUUCUAGUUUAUAUUUUCGGUCGCUUAUCAUCUCCCCCUAAUAUUGGAAAAAUAUUUCAUUCAUUUAUAAAUAGUCAACUAGACAUAACUAGCCUGCUAGGCUAUGAACAAGUCUCCAAUUAUUGGUUCAAUAGGAUUUAUAAUAGAUGAAGAUUCAUAUCAAUUAUAGUUUUCCAUUAUUCUCUUACGACCCAUCUAAGUGCAUCAUAUUGGAGCAAUUAUAGUUUUUUGUUCUUCAUCGUCAUUGAGACAUUGAUUCAGAGAUAAAGUUGAGAGAAAUUAGGAAAGAAAUAGCAAUGUAAAUAUGUGAUCUGGUAAUUAAUGAAAAAGAUUUGUUUUGCUUCUCUAAAAAAGAAAAUAAUAAGCAUAUACUCUAAGUUAUUUAUGGCCUUAGAUUGAAUUAAAAUAGAUGGUUAAGAUUUGGUGUCAAAUUUAGUUUAACACCAUGGUAUCAUUUGAUCCUAUCCCAUAUAUAUAUAUAUAUGUUUGCCAAUAAUAUAACUUCCUAUUAGAGUAUCAAUAAUUAUGUCUCUGAUUUAGAACUUUUUUUAUAUUUGUUAUCAAGUAAAAUCUUGAUAUAAUUUCCUAUUAGGGUAUCAAUAAUUACGAGCAGUUUUAGAAAAAUAAAUGGAUUUUUUUGAAGAAAAAAUAUUUAGAAUAAUCUUAUCUUGACUGAAUUAAUUUUUUUUUUUCUCUUUUAGAAUAUGUUGACUGAAUUACUAAAAAUAAAAAAUUACUAAGACAAGUAUCCAAUAUUUUAUUUUAAGCUUUAUUUUGACUGAAUUGAUGAGGAAAUCAAAUUUAAUUACUUAGUAUCCAAUAUUGUAUUAUAAUACCAUAUGUAAAAUAUUAACAUUUAUUUAGAGUGUUACAAAACAUGAUUUAUUUAAUAGAAUAUAAAAGAAAUGUAAUGAUUUUUUUUAAAAUAUUUUUAUAAUUACCAGUCAACAUAUUCUAUAAAAAAUAUUAUGAUAUAAUUAAUAGAUUUUAUAAAUAUUAUUUUUCAAUUUAAUUCUAAAAUAGUUAUCGAACAAUUUUUUUUAAUAUAUUGAAAAGAUUUUUCCAUCUUUAUUAACUUACUUGGGAUUAUAAAUACAAGUUUAGCUUUUAGCAUCAUAUUCACCCUUUCACAAAUACAAACAAUGGCCAAAUAUAAUAUUGCUUUAUUAUUCUUUGUGUUUUUUGUUUGGACAUCAAUAAUUUUGUUGGUGUGUGAUGCCAUUGCAAAUAGUGAAGAAAGCGGUAAACUUCACAUUGUAUACAUGGGCUCACUUCCUAAGGAAGUACCAUAUUCCCCAACAUCUCACCAUCUCAAUUUAUUGAAGCAAGUUAUUGAUGGAAGCGACAUAGACACCCGCUUAGUACGAAGUUACAAUCGAAGUUUCAAUGGCUUUGCCGCCAUACUCAACGACCAACAAAGGGAAAAGCUUGCUGGCAUGAGAGGUGUCGUCUCUGUUUUUCCAAGUCAGGAGUUUAACCUUCAAACCACAAGGUCGUGGGACUUUCUUGGAAUUCCUCAAUCAAUCAAAAGAGAUAAAGUCGUUGAGAGUGAUUUGGUGAUUGGUGUCAUAGACAGCGGAAUAUGGCCAGAAUCUGAAAGUUUUAAUGAUAAAGGUACACCCACACACGUCAAAAUCAAAUAUUGUAUAUGUUCUAAUUAUCAUAUGUAGUUAUUUUUCUUAAUAAUUAUUGUUUUGUACAAAAUCAUCCCUCCACUUAAAAUGAUAAGUAGCAAACCAAGUAGAUUAAUUUGUGAUUAUUACGUAGAUCUAUUUAUAAACGGUGUUCUUCAUGAGUAUCUUAGGACACUAAGAAAUAUUGUUGUUUAUAUUGUAGGUAGAAAAUUAAAUAUGAAGAGAAUAUUGUAGUAACAAACUAUAGAUGAUUUUUUUUUUUUAAUUUGAUAUAUAUAUAUAUAUAUAUAUAUAUAUAUAUAUAUUAUGAUUGAUCAGGUCUUGGUCCUAUUCCAAAAAAGUGGAGGGGAGUUUGUGCAGGAGGCACUAAUUUUAGUUGCAACAACAAGAUCAUCGGGGCACGAUUUUAUGAUGAUAAAGAUAAGAGUGCAAGAGAUGUUAUAGGUCAUGGAUCCCAUACAGCAUCAACAGCAGGUGGAAGUCAGGUGAAUGAUGUCAGCUUUUAUGGUCUUGCAAAAGGCACUGCAAGAGGUGGAGUCCCAUCUUCAAGAAUUGCUGUAUACAAAGUAUGUAUAUCAAGUCUUAAAUGCAGUUCUGACUCUAUAUUAGCUGCAUUUGAUGAUGCCAUUGCUGAUGGAGUUGACAUCAUCACUGCCUCUGUUGGUCCCAUAUACACCCCCGAUUUUCUACAAGAUACUAUUGCCAUUGGUUCUUUUCAUGCCAUGGAGAAGGGUAUACUCACAACACACUCUGCAGGAAACGAUGGCUCUACCCCAAGUACUAUUCGCAGUGUAGCACCUUGGUUAGUUAGUGUUGCUGCAACUACCAUAGAUCGUCAAUUUAUUGAUAAGCUCGUUCUUGGAAAUGGAAAGACUUUUAUUGGUAAGUCAAUCAAUGCAUUCCCUUCAAAUGGCACGAAAUUUCCUAUAGUUCAUUCUUGCCCAGCUAGAGGAAAUGCAUCGCAUGAAAUGUGUGAUUGCAUAGACAAAAAUAUGGUGAAUGGUAAGCUUGUUUUGUGUGGAAAACUAGGGGGUGAAAUGUUUGCUUAUGAGAAUGGUGCAAUUGGUUCAAUCAUCAAUGCUACAAAGUCUAAUCUUGAUGUUCCUUCAGUCACUCCAAAGCCUUCCCUUUACUUGGGAUCAAAUGAAUUUGUUCAUGUUCAAUCCUACACAAAUUCCACUAAAUACCCUGUAGCUGAAAUUUUGAAGAGUGAAAUCUUCCAUGACAGUAAUGCUCCUAGAAUUGCAGCUUUCUCUUCCNCGUGGCCCAAAUCCUAUCAUUCCUGAAAUUAUGAAACCAGAUAUAAGUGCCCCAGGAGUUGAUAUCUUGGCUGCAUGGUCACCAUUAGAGCCACCCUCAGACGAUUUUAAUAACUAUGACAAAAGACAUGUUAAAUACAACAUAGAAUCUGGAACCUCUAUGGCAUGUCCCCAUGUUGCUGGAGUUGUUGCAUAUGUGAAAUCAUUUCAUCCAAAUUGGUCACCUGCAGCUAUCAAAUCUGCCAUCAUGACAACUGCUACCCUAGUGAAAGGUCCUUAUGAUGAUUUGGCUGGAGAGUUUGCUUAUGGAUCUGGGAAUAUCAAUCCACAACAAGCCAUUAACCCUGGGCUUGUUUAUGACAUCACUAAGGAGGAUUAUGUGCAAAUGCUUUGUAAUUAUGGUUAUGAUACUAACAAAGUUAGACAAAUUAGUGGAGAUGAUUCAAGUUGCCAUGGUGCAUCCAAAAGAUCCUUGGUGAAAGAUAUAAACUAUCCUGCAAUGGUAUUUCUUGUACAUAGGCAUUUCAAUGUCAAGAUUCAUAGAACAGUCACAAAUGUUGGCUUUCACAACUCAACCUACAAGGCUACUCUUAUCCAUCAUAAUCCAAAAGUCAAGAUUAGUGUUGAACCAAAAAUUCUCUCAUUCAGAUCAUUAAACGAGAAACAAUCAUAUGUUGUCACCGUUUUUGGGGAAGCAAAAUCAAAUCAAACUGUGUUUUCCUCAUCACUUGUUUGGUCAGACGAAACCCACAAUGUGAAGAGUCCAAUCAUUGUGCAAAGAAUAUCAUAAACCAUGUUUUUGUUAUGGCAAUCAAAUAUAUGAUUAUUGAGUCUCGAAUAAAUCUUGAUGUUUUGUAUCUCUAUAGUUAUUUGCGUUCAUGUUGAUUUCAUAAUUAUGUAAAAUUCAAUACACAUGAAACAAAAACAAAACAAAAAAAAAAAUGAAUUUUGUGGAUGGUGAUGAUAUAAUAAUUCGUUUACAACGUUUCUUUUGAAGAAAUUUGAUAUUAGUUGACAAUAAAAUUUUACAAAAUAAUCAGUAGGAAAAAAUUUAUAAAACUAAACAUGCUCACUCAAGGGAUUAGGCCAAAACAACAAAAGGAGGGAACUAGGCCAAAACUCCAAAUAGAUUAGUUACAAUAUAUAAAACUAGGCCAACCUAGUUUGUUCUUGCUAAUACAAUCUUCAAUGAAGUCUGGAGCCUCCUGCCAAGCCAAAAAGAUGGAAUAGACAAAGCAUUGUUUGCAAGAGCAUCAACCAUUUGGUUGCCUUACCUAUAUCUAUCUAUCUAUCUAUCUAUAUAUAUAUAUAUAUAUAUAUAUAUAUAUAUAUAUAUAUAUAUAUAUAUAUAUACCCCACUGUGUUGGCUUGUUCAUGUUGAAUCACACAAUUGUUGUAAGAAAAGUCACAACUUUGGAGGAAUAAACAAAUAUCAUAUUGAAUCACACAUUUGUUGUGAAUUCCAUUUGUUGCUGGCAUGGAUCAAAAAUAUGCAGAAAAAUAUAUGAUCUAGUCUAGGCCGUCCUUGAGGGGGUGCAAACAGCUCUACGAAAAAAUAUAUAGAUCAUCUAGAUUGGGUUGGAUCUGUGAUGUUUCUCGUGAUAUUGAAGGGAAGAGAAUACGAGGAAACAAGAAUCAUAGGGGCUGAGGGAGCGAUCUCAAAGGGCAGCACACUUUAAAACUAAAUUAAAUCAUAACCAUUAAUUUAAUCUAAUGACCAUUAUCUACUCCUCUCAUCUCUCAUUUUAACUAUUCCUCUCACUUGAUAUAUCCCCUUAUUAAUAUAAUAUAUAUGUUAUUUGGUGUAGAAAUAUAAAUGUUAUCUGGUGUAGAAAUAUAUAUUUUAUUUGGUGUAGAAAUAUAUAUACGUUAUAGAAAUAUAUUUGUUAUAGAGAUAUAUUUGUUAUUUGUUAUAGAAAUAUUUUAUAUUAUACAUAUAUGUUAGAAUAGAAUAUUGAGACUUUGGGGGCAGAUUUGGAAAUAAGAGAAAAUAAGUAGGUUAAGGAUGUAUAUAUAAAGGGAGAGUUAGAAUUAGAAAAUAAGGAUUACGUGCAAACUGCUUUUGGGAGAAAAAGGGAGAAAGUGAGAAGUCAGAGAAAGAGAAGAGGAGCAAUCUCGUAGAGACCGAUCAUCUAAUCUAAGGUAAGGGUGAGACUAGCUUUCUCUAAUAAUGGGUUGCAUAAUUCUGAAAAAGGUUUUAACCUUGUAGUUGUUGUUAGUUUUGAUGUUUUGAGAAUUAUGUUUAGAAGUUGUAAUUGGUUGAUUUAAGAGUAGAUGAUAUGAUGAAUUAGGGUAAUAAUUGGUGUCCAAGUUGCAGAUUAAUCAUAGGUUAAGUUUCCUAUCAAAUUUGGAGUUUAGGUGGAUGAAAAAUUGGGUUUUUGGCUGAAAACUGGUCUGUUCCCGUAUAGUUGUCUGCCGCAACUCGCCACAGCGAUUAAACUUACUCGCCUCGCGAGCUGCACAGUGACAGCAUACCCUGUUUCGUGUUCUUGCGUCUUUUUCACACGUUUCUGUUUUGAAUUGGCCUUUGGUGUAAACAUGAAAGUUUUAGAUAAUUUUGUUAGCUUUCCAAUGAAUUUGUUUUGACUUGAAAAUGAUUUUUAGUUUUUGAGAUAUGAUGAAAAUACUCCAAGGAGGUCUUAGUAAAAUCUUAUGAAAAUUCAGCAUAACCAUUUCUAAGUUAAUCCAAAACUUAUCGGAUAAUUCCAAACCUUAAAACUAGAAGUACUAUGAGUUCAAUUAAGGUGUUUAAGAGUAUUUAAAUUAUGUUGUGAGUUGAUCUUGGGAUAGGAAUGUGAUGAGAUAAAACCGCAAGCGCACGGUUUUACCGAAGUAGUAUGAAAAGAGUAUCGUUCCGACAGGGAGUAGUUUAAUUUAAUUAACCUUUGGAAAUGAUUAGAGGAGAAAAGAAUUGUAAUUUGGGGUUUUCAAACGGUUGAAAAUUAAUAUAAAUAAAGGAGCCUUGGGAUCGUUGAUUCCAUCUAAAUAACAAGUCCUUCACAAACCAAACUAAAAGCUUAUAAUGUUAUUGUGCUCGUGAUUUUCGGAUAUCAAACCAUUAAUUGAUUUGAAUCGUCAAUCUUUGAACUCUCAAUUUUUAUUCGUGGGAAGGGAAAAAAUGAGUAAAAAAAAAACCUCAUCGAGACUUUGGAUUCGGGGGUUGGUUACGCGAAGGGAAGGUGCUAGCACCCUAAGCGUCUACGGUAUUCCGUAGGAACCUCUUACCUAACUUAUCUUGUGCUACAUUCAUUGCUUACUUGAAAAUUAUUACCUAAAAAUCUAAGUGAAAGAAUGGAGGGAAAAGAAGUAUGUUUUUGGUCAUUUUUAUUUGAUUUGGAAGGAUAAAAAUCCUAUGCCUACAUACCCUUUAAGAAAAGGGAUCAAAACCAAUGUAGUUCACCUAAAGAAUUUCUUUGGUGGGUUAGGUUGAUUUUAAUUUUUGAAAAUAGUUUUAAGAAGAGAUAAGAGGCCUCAAGGCAUGAGAUAAAAUAAGGUGAGGUUGGUCAAAUUUUAAUUACAAAGAAAUCAAGUCUAUUAUGAAUAUUAAUUCAAUUAAGCAUUUGAUUAAGAAAAUAAAAAGGAAAACACUUGGGUUACAAACCAAGGUUUAUUAAGAAAAUAUUUUUGGAGUUUUGCAUAUUUGAUUUUUUUAGACUAACCUUAAAAACUAACGUAACGGAGCAAAAAUAAAAUAAGCGGUAAAUAAAGCGGCAUAGUGUCGGUGCGUGUGUUACUAAACUAUUACAUACCCUCCUAGAUACAUUCUAUGGUCUCAAGAGAAAUAUAAUAAGAAAUAAAAAAAAUGCGCAAAAUAAAUUACAUCAAUUUCCUAAUUAUACACACUAAAAAAAAAAUUAAUGACAAUAAAAUGACAAGAAAUUAAAAUAUGCAUGAGAUGAUUCUAAAUAAAUAAAAAAAAGCAAUUAUAAAAUAAAAACAGUAAAUAAAAAAUUAAAACAAACACAAUAUUUUUGUAAGUUUUUUAGAUAAUUUUCUUUUAGCAAAGGGGUGCAGAAAGCAAAAACAGAGGUGUAAUUAAUAAAACUGUAGUGAAAUUAAAAAGGGAACAACUGGGCUUAAGCAGAAACGGGUCGUGGGCGGGUCGGUUAGACCCGCCCGGUUCGAGGUUAUAUAAAUAGGGUGUAAGACCCAUUUCUUUCACUUUCUCCAUUCAUUUCUCUCUCUUCACUUCUCUAAUCUCACGUCUCCCUCUUCUCUGUUCUUCUUUUCAUGAGUUUUCCGGCGCGGUGGCCGGUGGUGCACCACCGUGCCGGAGUUUUCAAAACCCUCCUCUUUCAAAAACAAAUACAUAUUAUUAUAUCCUUUUUCGUAUAGGUGAUAGAUCCGGACUUAGAUUUCAAAGAAAAGCAACAACACGUUCUAGAUCUAAUAUCAAACAACACGAAAAUAAAAUACUACCUUUUUUUUACCUCGGAUUCCGAUCUGCUUCUUCUCUAAUCUUUGAAUUCGCUUCUGUUCAUCAAACUCGGUUCUGAUACUUGUUGAAACGGCGCGAUUGAACCUUUGUUUAAAUCGGAUCCGUUACUCUUAUUGUUGUGGGUUCGGAUUUGAGUUUGUAAGUGACGGAUUCAAAAGAAAAGGUGAUGUUUAAGUGCGAAACUUGAUUUAUUUGAGGUGCUUAUGAACAGAUUCGGUUUGAAUAAAGCGUUGGUUGAAAUCGGUUUGGAUUUGAGUGUUUGAUUUUGAAAUUUUUUGAAAGAGAAAGAAAAUUAGGGUUUGAUGAUUGCGGCUACUGAUUGGUGAUUCUGUGGUUUCUCCGUUUGCGGCUGUGGAAAAUUGUCUCCGUUUUCUGUAUUUUGCAGGUUUGCUUUUAUAGCAUUAGGGUUGGAUUGAAUAAGGAAAUAACUUGCAGAAGUUACUACCGCGUUCCCGGAUUUGGAAACAAAAAAAUUGACCCUGUGAAAUUGGCUGAACACGAGGCGUACGGAGGAGAAAUGAAAAAAGAAAAAAAGGACCCUUGUUGGAAUUUUUGGACUUAUUAACUUUAUUGGACAAAAACUGGAAAAUAAACAUUUAUUAACUAUUAAAAAAAAGUAACUAACUUUAAAAAAAAAAAAAAAAAAUUAAAAAUAAAAGAUGGAAAUUAGAUAAUGAAAUAAAACGAGAGGAAAGUGCCUGCAAUCGGAGCAAAAAAUGAGGUAUUUUAAAAUACCUCCCUGCCGAAAUUUUCACUGAAUCAUGAGAUCGGCUAGAGUCAAACGACGCGCGUCCGUGGGAUCCUUGGUCAAAAUUUAGGGUGUGACAGUUAUGUUAGACCUAAUUUCUCAAGACAGUUUCUCUUAUGUUCCUCUAGCAACCAAGCCUAUUUCGCUGACUUGAUUACUAUUAGAUUUUGGUUCCUCUAACAACCAAGCCUAUUUCGCUGACUUGAUUGUUAUUAGUUCCCUUGAAGAUCGAAACUAUGUCUCAAAGAUUGCAAAGCCUAUUUCGCUGACUUUGCAAUCCUUGUCUGAAUUCACUUGUUCGAAUAUCAAAGCUCCACUUUCGUUUUAUGAAUUGAUAUUUGGAAUAAUGGAUAAACAAUUAUCAAACCCUCCACUUUCGUUUCCACAGUUUGAUAAUGGUUGAUCCAUGUUAAGACGGUGAAUUCAGAUACGAAAUUAGGGUUACAUAAGAUUAAGGCUUAGAGCUUGGUUUGAUUAGGAUUAUGUCAUUUAGACUUAUCCAACAAUCCCAAGACAAGAAGAAGUCUACUCACUCAUGUUCAUCGUAGACAUGGGGGAGAAGAGAGAAAGCAUAAAGGUAAAUGACAAGAAAAUAAAGGAAAAGAAAAGAACUUUAAUUAGAAAAGCAAUUGUCACUUAUUGUAUUCCAAGUAAAGAUGAAUAUUUGUGAUGGAUGGCUACUCUAUUUAUAGCAUUCAUUCGACUUAAAAUCUAAGCUAUUACAUUUGGGCUAAAAAUAGAGUAGCUUAAAAUCUAAGCAAAAGCAGCAAAAGGCACUCUGGAUGGUGGCACGGCCGUGCCAAGGCUAGCACGGGCCCUGCCAAGCUUCUGACUGUGGGGAGACAUAUUUUUGUCUCUCAAUCUUCAUAUUUUUGCAUCCAAUCGACUCCAAGUCCCUUUCUUUUGCUCCAAGACUCAAUCCAUCCAAUAUUCAUUCCUGAAAUAAAAUAAAAUGCAAUUUAAAGUAAACUAUCCUAAAAAGGAAAUAAUGCUAAUAUAAAAUAAAAUAAAAUCUAAUUAAAACUAAACUAAAAAGCAUAUAAAAGUAAGCAAUAAAUGACUCAUCAGAAUGGAAGUUGUUAUUAAGUUAUAGACUUACAGAGAGCCUGAAUCAAAUGAUUAAUGAUUGUUGGUUAGUUUAAGAUAUUUAUAUAAGGUGUUGAAAAUGUAUGAUAUAGAAAUUAUUAUUGUUUAUAUCAUUCAAGUUGAUAUUAUUGAUGUUGCUAUGUUGCAAGAUGUUGUUGUUGUUUCUGCUGUUGCUGAACCAUUAUGGUCAUUAAGUUGCAAGUGUUGGUCUAAGUUGUAAAGUUGUAAGAUGUUGUUCCAAAGUAUUGGAGUCAUAUAAGUUGUUGAUGUUGUCCAAGUUGUAAGUUGUUGAGUCUAUGCAUACUUAUUUGAAGUUGAGGGCUUGAUGCUCUAUGAGCUUUUGCUCUUACGUUGAGGGCUUGAUGCUCUGUGAGCUUUUGCUCUUAUGUUGAGGGCUUGAUGCUCUGUGAAUGUAUUUAUGCUCUUAUAUUGAGGGUUUGAUGCCCUGGUUGGUACCACAUGCAUGAUUAAGAAGUUGAAGUUGCAUAUGUUGAGUUUAUGUUGUAGAAGUCGCAUUGUCGCUGUCGUUAAGUUGUCAUUUAUCAAUGAGUUGCUAAUAAAGUACUAUUUAAAGUAUUAAUAUUUAUUAAUCGUUGUUGUUUAUGUGGUUAUAAGAUGAUGUUUAUGAUGUGAAGUAUAUGAUAUUAUAAGAUGAUGUUUAUGAUGUGACAUAUACGAUGUUAUAAGAUGAUGUUUAUGAUGUGAAAUAUAUGAUGUUAUAAGAUGAUGUUUAUGAUGUGAUGACUUAUAUUGUUAUAUGAUGAUGUUUAUGAUCUGAUUAUUAUGUGCUAUAUGAUGUUUUAUAUAAUGUGAUAAGUAUGAAGUUAAUUAUGAUUAGAAGUUGGUUGAGUUAUUAAUGAAAUAUUAUAAGAAGAGUUAAUGUUAUUAAUUGAUGAGGUUUAAGUUGUUAAAUGCUUUUGAUGAAUUAUAUGCUUAUUAUUAUUGAAUGUGAAAACUCACCCCUUCUGCUUGGAAAUGUUGCCCUCACAAUUGGGUAACUUGCAGGUAAUCAAGAUUAGCUGUGAAGUGAGUCGACUCUCUCACGUGUCGUCAUCUUAGGGCCGCUCUGAUACGUAACGGAAUGAGAAUUUUGUUGUUGCUUUCUGUUCCUUACGUAUUAUUUUAUGAACAUGUUGUUGGAAUAACUUUAUGAGAUUUUACAUUGAGGCCUUUGUGCCAAGGUUGUUUUAAACGUUGAACUAAUUUUCGUUGCGAAGUAAUAAAUGACACGAUGUUUAAGUUGGACAAUAAUUAGUGAAUUUAUUCCGUUUUUGAUUUUACGAAAGUGUGACAUUCCGUUUAUGUUGAAUUACUCUGAUUUUUAUGUGAAAUUUUCACUUUGGAAAAACGGGGUGUUACAGCAUAGCUCCUGGCAAAUUUUCCAGGAGUUCUUGCUCCUGGCAUUGUUCCCUGGCAAUAUGAAAGAUUUCUUGUAAUGUUCCAAAUCACUGUAUUUCCUAGUCCUCAACAUGAAUGGGAUGAAUCUUUGGUUCCUUAGUCGUUGAUGCGGCACCUAUUCUGUAAGAUCAAUGUCAUCCAAUGAUUCCGCAUAUUCUGAACCUCUCUUGCCUACUCCUUUGCUAGUUGGAGUCAAAACCGGUUCUGCCGACAUAUUAUCAUCCUUACUGUUCCAUCCAGCACCCUCGCUCACAUCCUAUACGUAUUUCUGAAGAGAAUUAGUCAUAGGAAGAAAUCAGAAACAUCAAAAAUUUAGAAAACCAUGAUAAUAAACAAAAUUAUACCAAUGGAUUGUUAUUAGCAAACCAUGAUGGAUUUAAACAUGGAUAUAGUCAGCCUCCUCUUCAUCAUUUCCCAGCUGAUAUAAACAUGGAUUCAAUAAAUCAAAAUGCAAGGUAAUUGUAGCUUAUAUUAUAAGAAGUACAUAUCAUACAAUGCAUAAAUAUUAGCCUUAAUUACACGUUCAGUCCCUUAACUUAUUUGUUGUUCCCGAUUUGGUCCCAUAACUUUAAAGUUUUCCAAUCAAGUCCCAUAUGUACACCUCUGUUACUCACCACAUCCUUUCUGUCAUCUGCUCGUUAUUGACGCACACGUGGGCAAUCCCACGUGGCACGUAUAUAAGGGAAAUUCUUGGAAUGGAGAGAGAAAGUUUCAGAAUUAGAAAGAGGUUUUGAAGUUUAGAGAGAGAAAGAGGAACACGAACACAAACCCUUAAAGAUUGAAAGACAGUCUCUGAGGAAGACGAAGUUGGAAUCGAGGAAGAGAAUGAUGGAAAUGGCUGAACUAGAAGAUUUCGAUGCUGGGGCUUUCGUCGAGGUUAGUUUUCUUCAAAUUUUCAAAAAUUAGGGUUUAGGGUUUGGUCGAAAAGUGGUUUUGAUUUCUGGUUUUGACUGUUUUCUGGUAUAGGGUUUACUCGUAUUCUGGUUUAGAGUUUGUUUCAGUUGUUGAAAUCUGGAAAACUCAGUAAAAAUUAUUUUUUUAGGUCUUGUUGUAAUAAUCCAGAUCUUAUCAUCAAUUUGUUAUGUUAAUCUGUCAAUUUUGUAUCUACAAAUGUGUAUUUAUGGUUUAUGUUGUUAAUGUCUUCAUUUUUGAAAUCACACUUAUCAGUGUUAGGGUUUUUAACUUGUAGGGCGAGGAUGGUAGAUUUUUCCUUGUGCUACACCAUGGGGGGGGGGGGGGGGGGGGGGCUUUUGUUGAGUUUAACCAUAAUGCCUAUAAUGGUAGUGAAACUGUGUUAGAGUGUGAACCUAACUACUGAGCUUAUUUUUCCAUCUUAUCAACCAUAAAACGUUUAGGCUACCCAAUGAUUAAGAGUCUUUGGUACUAUGAUCCUUCAAUGCUGAAUGAAAUGGUUCGAUUGAGGAAUGACAUGGGUUGUAGAAGGAUGAAAUUCAUAGCUGAGGAAAAUGGUAGGGUUCGCUUAUAUGUAGAACACACUAUAUGUUCACCUGAAUAUGGUUACUUGAAUCCCUUGCUGGAGUACCCUUUAGGAUAUGUCCCUCCUCAUGGUGCAGCUACAACUGAAGUAUAAGAUGAUGUAUUUGAGGAAGAUUAUAUGGGCCCUGAUGUGUUGGAACAAAAAUAUGUUUAACGUUAACCCUUAAGAGUUUUGAUGAUAACAGAGUAUUAAAAAUUGUCAAUUGGAUAUGCUAAUAUUUGUUUAAGUAUACAGGACUAUAGACAAAAUUUGACAUCUUAAAAAGGUCUUGGAAGAACAAAUAAAGAGCAAAUACAUCAACAAAAAGGAAGCUUAAAGCGUCUGAAGAAAACUGCUCCUGAAGAUAAAGCGCUCCUGAAGACAAAGUGCUCCUGAAGUGAUGACGUCAUCAGAAGCAAGGUCAUCAGAAACAAGUUCAUCCAAAGCAAGAUUAUCAGAAGCUGAGAAUCACCAGAAGAUGUAGUUCAUCAGGAGAUGCAACUUAAAGCUUUAAAAGCUGUUUAACGGAUUCAAACUCAUCUAAAGAUUGCAGAAGACUGGAAAAGUGAAGCAACGACUAUUUUGAAAGGAUUUGAACGCAUUGGAUGCUUGUUCCUCAAAAGAGCGUUGACAUAGUACGUUUGUACGAAGUGUACAAGCACUACCUCCACUACUCUGUUUUGUGUCUGCUUCAAAACAAGAAAAACAGCUCUGCUUGCAACAAUGUUUCUUCUCAAUGGGAAUGCAUUUGAAAUUGAUCCUUCUUAGGACAAUAACCAUAUCAGGCAAAUGAUCAUUGGUGAUUGAUUAAAAGCUUAAAACGACUCUAUUUUGAAUGUGCUGGCAAUUCAACGUCUCUUUCACACCUCUAUAUAAAGGAGUGAAGACUCAGAGUUUCAUAAGGGCAAUACCAAGAAUUAAAAGUGUCAAAACUCUUCUGAAAUUGUUCUGCAUUCAAAGUUCACUUAGAAUUUCUUAUCAAAGCUCAUAUCUUAGAAAUUCUAGAGUCUUUAGAGUCUAGAGUCUUGAGAGUCUAUAUCUGUUUGAAUUCAGAAGUCUCUUGCAGUUGUGCUUGAGCAGUAGAAGUCUCUUGAUUGUGUUCAGGAGCAUAGGAAGUCUCUUGCAGUUGUACUUGAGCAUUUGAAAUCUGUUACUAAGUUUAGUAGUGAGCAAUUGUAAUAAGAUAUUACAUAUUGAACUCUCCUUGGAAGUGCAAGGGGGACAAGACUGACUUUCGGUUUGUGUAAGGAACCUUUAUAAAUUGCUUUGUGUCUUUCUUCUCUCUCUCUCUCUCUCUCUCUCUCUCUCUGUUUAUCCGCUGCAAUUAGUUCUGAACAUCACUUCAGAGGUGGUACUCUAUCUGCUUCUGAUCAGUGUUUUCAGUUAGGAGAAAAAGAUGAAAAAGAAAACACAAUUCAACCCCCCUUCUUGUGUUUUUCUCACCUUCAUGAUGUUAGUGUUGUGUUUGCUGAGAUGGAAGCUGAUGAAAUUGAGGAGAAUAAUGUGGGCAAUGGUGUAGAUGAUGUGGAAGAAGUUAAUGUGGAGAAUGUGGGCCCUGAUGCUGAGGUGGAAGAAAAUGAGGUUGAAAAUGUGGGACCACAAAUGGGGGCUGAAUUUGCUGAGGUGGAUGUUGAGUUGGAUGGUGGGGACAAUGAUAAAGGUGUUGGUAGUGGGGACACAAAGAAUGUUUAUUUGGGGACCACUGAGAGAAAUGAGGAUGUUUUUGACGAAGCAAGUGGGGUUAAUGAAGGAAUAAAUGAGGGGCCCACUAGUGGUGGUUUUGUGACAGAUAUGGAUGGGGCUUUGAAUGGGGGGAGUAAUGUAGUUAAUGAGAGUGGGUCAAGGGCAUAAGUUAAUGAAAAUGGGGAUGGUGAACCACAUGGACUAGAUGCAGAAUUUAGGAAUGGGCUAGAUGAUUUACUGGAUGGUAAUGGGUCAAGAUGUGAAAGUGUGGAGAAAGAGGACAGUGAACUUGAAGUACAUUUUGAGGGGCAUUCAAAUGAGGAGAUAGGGUUGGAAGAUAACUAUGGGAAUUUUAAUAUUGAUGUGGGUGAACCAACUUUGAACCAGUUUGAAGAAGUUAAUGUGGAUGAAGAUGUGGUUGUUAGAGAGGUUGUUACACAAACUGAACCUGCUGCAGAGGUUGUAAGUGAAGCAGGAGAUAAAGGAAAGGGAAAAAAAGCAAGUGGUUCUACAUCUAAGCCUAAGAGAAAGAGAGGAAGACCAACAAAGAAAAAAAAAGUUUAGAAUGAACCAGUAUUUGAUGAUGAGGUUUUACUUGAGCAGGUAAAUACUUGGUUGUGAAACUGAUGAGGAAAAUGAGUUUGGAAGGACUAAGAAGACUAAAUUUCCUACCUUCAAACUUCCUAACAACAUGAAAGAUUACAAGUGGGAAGUAGGAACUUAUUUUGUUUCAAAAGAUGAUUUUAUUCAUGCCAUGAGAACAUAUAUUGUUCAUUCUGGAAGGGAGUUGAAGUUAAAAAAAAUGAGAAGAUUAGGGUUAGGGUUGCAUGUAAGAAGACUUGUAGGUGGAUGUCUUUUUUAGCAAAAGUACCUGAUGAGGAAACUUGGCAACUGAGGAAGGUAGGAGAGCAUAACUGUUCUAGGGGACAUAAACUUAGGAUUAUGAAUGCAAAGUGGUUGGGACCUAUGAUGCAUAGUAGGGUGAAAGAGAAUCUAGAUCUGAACGAGUACUAUAAGGGAGAGAUCACAAUUGAAAUGGGGUAUUGAAGUUGGUCCCAGUAAGGCAUACAGAGCAAGAGGGAUUGCAAAGGACUUGGUUUAUGGCUCAUUUAGGGAGCAAUAUGUCAGAAUCUAUGACUAUACUUAUGAGUUAUUGAGGUCUAAUCCUCAUUCAACUGUGAGAGUCAGUACUCAACCUUUUCAAGGAAGUGAAGAACAACUACAAGUUCCUGGUGCUGUUUUAUGUCCACAUUUUCAGAGGAUGUAUAUAUGUUUCAAAGCUUGCAAGGAGAGCUUCUUCAAAUGUAGGACAAUUAUUGGGUUGGAUGGAUGUUUCUUAAAGGGUUACUAUGGAGGCCAACUAUUAGUUGAAGGAGAAACAAAGGACUCCUGGGCUUGGUUUUUGGACCUGCUUGUUGGAGAUCUAGGUGGUGUCAGAUUGUGCAAAACAUACACUUUUAUAAGUGAUCAGCAAAAGGUAAACCUUUUAUCAUUAUUUAUCAAAUUAAGUUCAUAAUUUUACUUACUGAUAUAUCAUUAUUUAUCAAUAUUUACAACUAUUUAUUUUCUCAUAUAUAAUGUGUUUUGUAGGGACUUUUGCCAGCUAUUACUGAAUUGCUAUGUGAUGUGGACCAAAGGUUCUGUGUGAGACAUUUGUACAACAACUUUAAGAAGAAGUUUGGUGGAAAAAAAUUGAAGGAGUUGAUGUGGAGAGCUGCUAAGGCAACUUACUCAAAUGCCUUUGAUGAUGUAAUGAAUGAGAUCAGAAAGAUAAGUCAGGGUGCUUAUGAAUAUCUGAAGUUGAUCCCUGCUAAGCAUUGGAGUAACUCCAAGUUUACUUCUGGGCCACUAUGUGAUACCCUUGUAAAUAACAUGUCAGAGGCUUUUAACUCAACAAUUGUCAUCCCUAGAGGAAAGCCAAUUGUCACUAUGUGUGAGGACAUCAGAAUUUACAUGAUGGAAAGGUGGGAAGCAAAUAGGCAGAGGAUUGCUAGGUAUGAGGAUGUAGUUCUUCCAAACAUAAAAAAAAGACUUGCAAGGGAAUCUGCUAACACCAAUAAUUGGUUGGUUAGGUAUGUCACUUUCUGUCCAUAUAUUUUUGUUUAUAAUAUAUUUCUCUAGCUUGGUUUUCAAGAUAGUUAUAAUUUGUUUCUAUCUUGUUAGGCGUUCAAGUGUGCAUGAUUUUCAAGUGAUUAACAUCAAUUCUACAACUGAAAAGUUCUAUGUCAAUCUGCUGAGAAGGUCAUGUGAUUGUAGGAAAUGGUUGUUGACAGGCUUACCAUGUUGUCAUGCCAUUUCCUGCAUGAAGAACCAAGAUAUGGACAUCAAUGAGUUUGUCCCAGACAUUUUCAAGAUUUUCAAGAAGGACCAAUAUGCAGCCUGCUAUGCUCCUAUAAUUUACCCAACCAAUGGUCAAAAUCUAUGGGAGAGGACAGAGUAUAAUGACCUUCAGGCACCACCUAUUUGGAAGCAACCUGGAAGGCCUAAGAAAAAGAGGAACAAAGAGGCAGGUGAAUUGUUGAGAGAUGAUGGAGCCAGAUGGAGCCAUGAGGAGGGCUAGAUGGGGAAUUAAGUGCAGCAGAUGCAAGGAAAAUGGACAUAAUAAGUCCACUUGUAAGCUUCCACCACCACCACCACCAACUCAAGGUGAAUCUACUCAGACUGUUAACACUCAAGCUGCUCAAGCAUCUCAGACAAACACAUAUCAAGCUACUCAAGGUGCUCAAGCAACAACAAAUGUUCAAGUUUCUCAGACAAACACAUCUCAAGUUCCUCUAGCUACUCAGAGAACAACUCAAGCAACUACUAGGCAUGCUCAGUCUUCAAGUGGUCAGACAAACACACAACCAUCUUCCACUCAAGGAACCUCUGCAACAAGUGCUAACAACAAAAAAACCAGAAAGAAAGCAAAAAGAGGAUCAGUCAUCAACAUAACCAGAAGCAGCUAAGGGAAAGAAGAAGAAGGUGUCUGCAAGAACUGAUGGUGCAGCAUCAACCCAGCAGUAAAUGUCUUAGUGUCUGAUAACAUUAUUUUGGUGUGACAGUUGUAAUGCAAUGCCUAUGUGCAUUUAACUUUAUUUUUGUGUCAAGUAAAUGCCUAAGUGCAUUAGGUUUUAUGACUGAUAUUCCUGCUUUGCUGUGAUGCAAUGCCUAAGUGCAUUUAACAUUGUUUUGGUUUCAUGUAAAUGCCUAUGUGCAUUAGGUUUUAUGACUGAUAUUUCUACUUUGCUGUGAUGUAAUGCCUAAGUGCAUUUAACAUUGUUUUGGUUUCAUGUAAAUGCCUAUGUGCAUUAGGUAACAGUAUGAUAUCGCUGUUUUGGUUUCAUGUAAUGCCUAUGUGCAUUUACCAUUAUUGCUCUUUUUCAAGCCAAUGUUGGCUGUGCAAUUGUAAUGCCUAAGUCAUUUUAAUGAAGUCAUUUUAUGGUUAAUUUCUGUUGCAAAUAUAAGUCAUUAAUUCAUUACUCAAUUCAUCAUUUCAAUUCAAUACUCAAUUCACUACACAAAAGUAUACAAGAAACAGAAACAAACAUUUAUCAUUUCAAAAUAUGCAAUAACAUCUUUUCAUUGAUAUAAUAGUCAUACAUUCAACAAUUCAUUAAUCAAUUCUUCCUAAACUUAACACAUUUCAUUCAUCACAUUACAACCCUAACAUACUAUUUCAAUUACAUCAAACUCCAUGUGCCAAUCAUUUUGCAGACUAGUGAUGUCCCUAACACAAGACAUAGCCCAAAAGAUGUUAAUCACAAAAUCAAAGAUAGCUUCAACCAUGAUCUUGUCUUUGGCAAUUGAGUCUUCAACUUCAAUUUUUUUUUCUCAAGCUUUGCAGACUUGUUAUCACUGUCUUCAUUGUAAUCUUCUUCAAUUAACUUAAAAAAGUUGCAGCCUUUAUCACAAGAAUUAUUGUAAUUUCUGCACCCCAAAAAUUUCCUACCACAGUUAGGGUUUGAACUAUCAAUUUGAAGAUUGACCCAUUUGCCACGAAUUUGGGUUAGGUUUUGACAUCUUCAGAUUCAAUUUGAGAUUCAAAUUUUGAAACUGAGUUUUGUUAAAGAGAUGAACGAAUUCGAAUGCGAAUUCGAAUUUGUGUUGUGUUGUGUUUGAAACAGGAAGCAAAUCGAUGGGAGAAGGAGGAGAAAAGAAGGAAAAUCGAUGGAAAAAGAGGAGAUAUGGAAGAAGAAGGAAAUCUUGAAUAAAAAAAAUUCCCUUAUAUACGUGCCACGUGGGAUUGCCCACGUAUGCAUCACUAAUGGGCAGAUGACAGAAAGGACGUGGUGAGUAACAUAGGUGUACAUCUUGAUUGGAAAAGUUUAAAGUUAUGGAACCAAAUCGGAAACAACAAAUAAGUUAAGGGACCGAACGUGUAAUUAAGCCUAAAUAUUAUUUACAUUGAUUCCAUGAUGAGAUAUGAAUCGCUUGAUGAUUUCAUCAUCAACAGUCAUCUUCUUAACGGUGUAGCUGUGCCAGUUGCGAUAUAAGUUCGAGUCAUUCACUUCGACCUUGAACAACAUUCUCUUGUCAACAAACAUAUUAAGCUCCUCAGGGUACCCACAUAUUUAGAGAAGAAUGGGUCUUUGAAAAAAUUAUUCCCCAUUGUUUAUUGGGUUACUUCGGUGCUUAGUAUACUAGUACUUGGAUAUGGUCCUACUUCAAUAUUGGGCAUGUACCAUGAUCUCACUCAUGUGCACGACACGUGGACAACUCACAAGUGAUACAUACUCCCUCCGUCCCUAUAUGUAAUCCCCCUUUGCUUUUUUCACAUUUCUUAAGAAAAGUUGUUAGUGUAGUUAAUGUGUCUAUUUUAUGUGUUAAUAUUACUAAAUUGUCCUUUGUUUGUAUGUGUAUUAAAUUUGACUUUUUGUAUUUCAAGAUAAAUUAGUAGGAUUAAUUAGGGGUAUGUUUAGGAAAAUAAUAAUAAAUGCAUCUAGUAAUUUGAAAAGGAGUUUACAUUUAGGGACAAAAAUAAAAUCAAAUGGGUGCUUACAUAUAGGGACGGAGGGAGUAUUGUCGAAUAAUGUUAUCCCAAUGCACAACCCCCCUAUGCACAAAGCCUAAAAGGGUGAGGUGUUUAAGUAUUAUUCCCUUAAGUUCAACAGGCGUCUGAGAUUUUAAAAAGGUUUGGUCUUAGGAAGUUUUCUAUUCGUUUUUUCGCUCGGUGAAUUAUCCUUAGUCUUGGUCAUGGCGAGUUAGAAUUUUAUCUAGUCUAAAUUGAUUAGCUUUUUUGCUUCGUAAGAAAUUUUAUUAAAUUAGGCAAAUCCCCCCGAGAUUUAUGAUCAUUAUUAUUAAGCGUCCUUUAUUAAAAGCGAGAAGCCCUCGAUCUUAACGCUUCUUGUGUGCCUUAUUUUAUCUGGGACAGGCCCCAACCUCCAUGCUUAUUGGGACUGAUUUUGGGUGUAUUAGGGAAGCAAUGUUGAGUUGCUGACACAUGGCUACUUGUGUAUUAUUUUUGCAGUUGUAUUAUAAUGCUCUUUUUUAGAUGUUUUCAAUCAAACCAACAAAUCCUUUUUCUAUAUAUGAAGAAUCUUUUGUACCCCAACAGAGGAAACAUGGCCAGGGGUCACUACUUUAUAUGCUAACCUUCAAACCUAUCCCAAAUUUAAACCAACGGUACCCAAUUCUCACUUCUUAAAUGAGUUAUUUUUCACCAAUUGUCCUGUUAAUGUUUACUCUUGCUUAUAUGCUUCUUUGUGCAACUAUGUAAGGUCUGUCAUCAAUUUUUAUAAAAAUCUCAAUUCAUUCCUAUGUUUUUGUAUAAAAACUCAAUUUCUGAUUUAAGUAAUGAUUUAUUCUACACUACAAGGGGUGGAGAUUUAUCUGUAGUUUUUGAUAUCCAUGACCUUAUGAGAUUAUGUUUUAUGGUUGUUGCUUGUAUGCUAUCUACCUCCCCCCAUCUAUUAGAUUACCCUUUUUCUCAGACCUUGCACUGCACCUUGAAACACUACUAUUGGAGACCCAGAUUAUUCUAAAACUUUUAAUUCAAAGGCAAACGUUAACAACUCAUUGAUAAUGUUUAAGCUGAUGCUCUCUAUUAUACAGGUUGUUGAAAGAUUGGUGAUGAAAGGAUAUUCAAGCUCUUGUUGUUGACAAAGGAACUAAAAUGGUCAAGGUUAGUGAAUAUGCCUUGUUAUGUGCCUGCCAUCUCAGAGGCACUUUGAUAAACUUGAAGCAUCAAGGAUGAAGAUCUCGUUGGAGGACAAGUUAUGAAAGGACAUAAGUUGUGCUAUGGCACGUCUCCGUGGUUUAGAGUGUAAACUUUUGUCUUCGAUUAUUUUCUUCCAGGUUGUUAUAUAUUAUAGCGGAUUGAAAAAUGUCUGUUAGUUGUAAGAACAUGUGUCGUAUCUUUAGACUUUAUUUCCAUUGUUACAUUGCUUGUUAUAAACUCAAUUGUUCAGAAGCACCAAAUCAAUAUAUGGAGAAGAAGGGAUAUAUCUCAGAAAAUGAUUUUAAUUGAGUAUUUUUUGGCUGUUUUACUGAACUUAAUUUUUAAGUUUAUGUUUCCGAAAAAUAGCUUAUCACUUUUUUAUUAGAUGCACCAAAAAAAUAAUAUUAUAAUAAAAUUAAUAGCUAGGAACGAUCUACGAAAUUGCUAGGAACUUGUGGCUAGAGAAUUACUUUAAAAUUUUUGAGGCAUUAUCCUAGCCAAAUAGUUAGGAAACUUAAAUGUUGAAUAGUAUUUUGCUAGGUAUUAAUUUGAAAAUAGCUAGGUAAUUCUAAAUAUUAGUUGCGAAUUAGCUAGGAAAUAUUUUGGUAGAUAAUUUGCCGCCCAAUCCAUGCUACGGCCAGUGUGACAGCUAAAUCACAACUAAAUGGUAGGUAAAUGAGUUUUGCUAGAAAUUAGCUGUGCAAUAGCUACGAUUUAUUUCGUAGCAAAUCCAUGAUUUUCUAGUAGUGUAUCAAAUCAAAACAUGAAACAUAAACAUGCACACUUACUUUACUUUUUCAGGGAUCAAACCAUUGUAACGCUCUAAACCCCGAAACCAAUAAUCAUGCAAUUUAAAGAAUAAAUAUUCAAAAGACUUUAGACGUCACGCCAUCAUUCAUUUCAAAAACAUGCAAAGAUUCAGUUUCAUAAACAUCGCAGCGGAAAAUUUCAACAGUCGGCAUAAAAAUCUCAGUGACAUUAAGUCAUCCUCAAGUACAAUUAGUAAAAAUCUCAAAGGCCAUAACAAGGCUCAAACAUAAAAAUAUCUCAACAGUCAGAUAAUAAAUAAUCUCAUCAUAAAGCAACGACAAAAGUAAGACUCGAUAUCCUAAUCAGAGCCCGACACUACUAAACUCCAAAGUAGAUAAAGGAGGAAGCUUCCGCUGUCCUCAACCAACUCACCAAACAAGCUAAGCAACUAAUCCUGCACACCGUCUAUCCAUUCAUAAGAAUAAGGCAUACGGUCGACCAAACGACCACUGGGGGUUAGACAUCAUUCAAAUCAAUUAAAGCAUAAUCAAACGAAAAUAAACGACAUAACUAAUUUCAGAUGUUCAAUGACAUCUAAUCACAUUAUUCACAAGGAUUCAUUGUCAUUUAUUCAACGUUAAUCAUACAAGUGUAAUAUCAUAUCAAGUAUACUUUCACACCUUAAUAAAUCACCAAAUUUCACUAUGUAUGCAAUCACCAAAAUUUCAUCAAUACACACAUUCAUUAAUGAUUAAAUGUGCUAUGUUUGAUAUGUGUAUAUACUCCUUCUUGUGAGUCUAAUAACGUUGAGAUUGAGGACGAUUAACUGAAUACUUAAUUUAGAAAUUGUAAACCAUCACUUCCUCAUCAUUUGAUUUUCUUUGCUUUCUCAAUACUUAAUUGCCUUGAUAGACCCGGAAAUUAGGUUGCAAAACAAACAAUAAAAUGAUAAAUCCUUAUGAUUGUAAUAAAAUUAGGCAUGGAUUAUCUUAAAAUAAGAAUAAGCAUAUAAUAUAAGAAUCAAUUAAAUGUUAAUCAGGAUAAAUAAAAGAGCUAUCAAGUAAACUUAUCCGUGAUGACAUAUGAGCCUGAGGUGUGACAUAGUCACUUUCUAUGACGGUAGACAUAGGAAAUGAAGACAGGAAACAAGGACUAGGUUUUAUGAUUGAGGGGAUGAUGGAGAGUUGUAUGAGCAUAAAAAAAAAAAAGUAAUUUAGAUAAAAGUAAUUUUUAAAUAAUUUUGAAAUAAAAAAUCUUUAAAUAAUCUUGAGGAGAUGGAGAGUUGUAUGACCAAGUAAUAAUCUUGAGGUUAUGAGUAUGAUCCAUGUGGUUAAGGCGCUUUAGAUAAAAGUAAUUUUUAAAUAAUUUUGAAAUAAAAAAGAUCUAAAAAAUACAGCACAUUGGUGUAACUAAAGUUGUUGAAUAAAACAAAGAAUACAAUUCACCACAUGACUUUUAUUCCGCAAAAACCAACCUUGAUAAUUUCCAAAACCAUUCUGGCAUCUCAAACUAAUUAGUUUUUUUCAUCUUUGGUAAAAAAGCAACGAGUAUUUUUUUUAUUUUCUAUAUAGUCUAGACAAUAAGUAAUUAGAUUUAUUAUAACUUGAUUUGAUUUGAUUUAAAGUAUAUAACCUCAAAUAAAAUAAAAAAUAGACUUCUUGAGAAUUCUCAUCCGACCUCUUUGAGGGAAACAUAAAAAGCCCUAAAAAAACCAAGUGAAUAAGAGGAUAAUAUAAAUAAACUUUCUUCUGGACCUAAAUUUAUUAGUUCCUUUACCUUGAUUUGUUUGCUUUUGAUUUUAUUGCCUAAAUCUCCUAUCACACUACUACAUACUUGACAUUUAGUAACACAGGUGUGUAACGAAGAAAAUAAUUGUUACUGUUUAACAAUUAUUAGGAACAUUUUUAAAGAAAACACAUACAUACCCAACUUAACACUAUUUUUAAGUAAUGUAAAACUAUUUUAAUAAUUUAUACAUUAUUUUAUUUUAUAUCCUUUAUUAUUAUUAUUAUAGAGCACUGUUAUACAUACCUCCAUAGCUGGCAUACCACUCAUACACCCCUCUUGUGUGGCACAUUUAAUUAAUAAAAAAAAUUGCCAAAUCCAUGUUACACAAAAAUGAGUAAUGAUAAAAAAAUAAAAUUAACUGUAGUAGAGGAUUCGGCCCAUCUCUCUCUCUCCCAUGCCAUUUCCCUUUUCUCCCAACCCUAGCACCUCACGAGAUUUCACCGUCACCGUCGUUGAUCUUCGAUUCUCCCCUUUCACCCGCCGCUGAUUGAAAUUCAUUGUGUCUCCAUUAUUAUCUAUUUGUGCUCUCUCUUGUCGGCGGUUUUCUUUCAACUGUAGCACCCUCGCCGACGCUCUCUCUGUGCCCUCUCUCGUCGGCGUUUUUCAACUCAGGUAUAUUCAUUCAUCUCCCUUUUGUUUGAUUUGGUUGUUCAAACUGGUAAUUUAUAUCUGUGUAUAUUCACUAUUCUUGCGGUAUCUGUUAAUCUGAUAAUUUAUCUCGUCAGCAUUCCUCAUUUUUGCGGUGAUUCACUAUUGUUGUUAUUCGUACCAGUUUAAUUAAAAUUAGACUUAAACAUUUAUGGGUAUAUUGAAAAUCUUUUUUUUUUUUUUAAUUUAUAUCUAAGAUUUUGGCAGUACUGAAGUUAAGAAUGGGUUGAAUUUGAUGUUAUGUGUGUUUAUUGAUGGAUAAAGUUUUGUUUGAUAGAGGCUAUGGACAUUCAUUGGGUUAGUCUAUAGCCAGUUUUAUGGGUCACGACAAAAUAGGAAUGCAUUAGCGAGAAAGUUUAAGGUUCAAUGGUUUAUUAUUAUACAUGAGGUUUCAUGAAAAAACAUUAUAGCAUUCUUUGAUCCAUCUAAUUAGUCUCACCGAGUGGGAAACAACUUUGAUGGUUAUUGCUGUAUGCUGGGUUUUUUACUCUGUGCCCUUAUCUUUGAGAUCUGUUUGUUAUACACUUUUUAUGCUAAUAUAUUAUAUUAAUUAGUAUCAUUCUUUGUAGAGGCAGAACUCGUAACUUAUUAUGUAUGUUUUCAGGUGGCACCUGGUCUUAGCUUGAAAACUCCUUUGGCAGCAUUGGCAUCACAGUCAGCAUCAUCACAAACAUCUGUAUGUAUUUCUUGUUUUUAUGAUCUGAAAAUAUUUCUUAGAAUUCUAUUAUGGAAGAUAGUAAUUGAGGACCUUUCAUAUUUUUUCUUUGGGAUUCCUUUAUUGUUGUCGAAUGCUCUUGUCAGAUAUUUCCUUGCAUAACGUUUAGUUUACCCCAUUCACUUGUACUAUGAGGGUUAUGGUUAUUGCUAUUAGUAAAUUCACAAUUUUCAUAAUUAGUUGGUCAUUGUUUUAACAAAGAGAUGUUUUGAUUUGUUCAUUUGUGUUUCUCUGCCAGCCUAAGGAUUAAUGAAAUUGUUUGGGAGAGAUUGUUGAAACAACCUAUAUCAUUUAUUAUGGUGUGCCUAGACAUAGAUAUGAGUCCUUACUUUGGUCAAGUUGUUGCGAUGCUAAGUUUAAAGUAAUGUUACCGAUUAGACAUAGAUAUGAGUCCUUAAUUUUCUCAGUAUGAUGUUGGGUCUGGUUUUGUAUUAAUAAAACUUCCAUGUUUCGGAAUAAAAAACAAUUGUUUGGCUAUAGAUUUUCAGCAGACACGAGAACUACUGAUUUGUUUUAGAACCAAUUGAAACAUUAAGUAAAUAUCGAACCAGUUGAAUCCAAUUUUAAAAAAUCUGAAUCUCAAUUUCAACAAUUCAAUUUUCAUAGACAUUUGAAGCUAGUCAUUCAUUGAUAUUCACAAGUCAAUUCUUAAUAUUCAUAGACAAAAUUAUCUAAGUUGUGAAGAUGACACGCCUUUAUAUUUUUGUUUUCUUUUUACGAUAAAAAUUCAGUUGAUUGACAAUAACAAUUGCAUCUGUUGUAGUCUUCUCAACCAUUACACUACCAGUUGAUUUCUCGUGGUAAUUCUAGCAUUGUCUAGUCGACAAAAUGGUAUGUGUAUGCAAUGAAUGUCAAUUAGUUUGUUUGAUUUCAUUAGUGUUUUGUGUUUUUGUUAAUGCCUUUCCUUAUAUGUCAUCUUUGGAAUUCUUGUUUAUUACAGUUACGUCUCAGGCAUGAAUGUAAGUCAAAGUAUAUUACUAAAGUCAACGAGAAGCUUACCGAACUUCAAAUGUUCCAAAUUUAGUAAACACCAUUUAAAUGAAGGUGACGAGGAGGACGUCUUCAUGGAUGAGAUUGAAAGGGUUAUUGAAAGGGAGGCGGCAAAUGUAUCAGAUGAUGAAGCACAUCAUGCAUCAAAUCUGUUGACUAGAAUUAAGGACAAGCCAAGAAACCGUGUAAAAAGUAAAAAGUGGGGUUCUGCUUUCACCGUGGGUGAAGGAUGGACGCAUAAAGAAGAAGAUUAAAUUAGUGGUGUUUUGAUAUGAUUGUAAUGUAAAAAAAAAUUGAUGCUAUUUUUUAUUUAAUAGGACCAUGUUGCACCUAUAAUAUUAAUGGAAACACCAUAUGUUGUUAGUUACUAACAUUGUUCAACUAUCCUACAGUUUAAUGAGUCACUCUACCUGUUAUGUAAUAUAUUUUUUUGGGAGGUUUUUUGUUAUGUUUUGUUCUUUGAUAUAAAAAAUAUUUGUGUCUUUAUUGACAGGUGAAAUCUUAGCAUGUAUAUCUUUAGCAUGAGUCAAAGGGCAACUAAUAUCUAUCUUUGACAGAAUUUGGUGAAAUGUUACCAAACCUGAGUUUGAAAAGGAUUUUAGUGCAGUGAUCAAAUGAGAUUUUGUGUUCGAUUCGCCUAAAAUGGGAUUAUUUAUACCUGGAAAAGUUAAACUAGUCAAAUAUAUGGUUUGUGUGACGACAUUCUUUAAGGUGCGUGACCACUAUUUUUUGAGAAUUUAGAACUUGUCCGUCUUUAGGCAUGAUAAACUCGCAGAUUGUAAAAGAAGCUAUUUAUGGUUGGCUUUUAGUGCAGUGAUCAAAUUAGAUUAUGUGUUUGAUUCCCCUAAAACGGGAUUAUUUAUACCUGGGAAAGAUAAACUAGCCAAAUAUAUGGUCUGUGUGAUCACAUAUUUUAAGGUGCAUGACCACUAUUUUUUCAGAAAUUAGAACUUGUCCGUCUUUAGGCGUGAUAAACUCGCAGAUUGUAAAAUAAGUUAUUUAUGGUUGGAAAGACUUUUAGUGUAGUGAUCAAAUUAGAUUAUGUGUUCGAUUCGCCUAAAACGGGAUUAUUUAUACCUGAGAAAGAUAAACUAGCCAAAUAUAUGAUCUGUCUGACCACAUUUUUUAAGGUGCGUGACCACUAUUUUUUUUUCUUCAAAAAUUAGAGUCUGUCUGACCACAUUUUUUGAGGUGCGUGACCACUAUUUUUUAAGGUGCGUAAACAGCAACACCGAGAUUAUUUGCACUAAGAAAACUAAUGCAAUUAAGAGUCCAAGAAACAUAGAAUACAUCUCUUGAUAUUUUACGUUGUAAUUAUUUCCUUUGCUCCAAUUCUAUUUUCUCAGUACUCGUAGCUCGAAUAUGAGUAAAUGGUUUAAACUCAGAAAAUUGGCCGUCUGUAAGUUUGACAGCCUCACAACAGAAAACUAAUGCAAUUAAGAGUCCAAGAAACGUAGAAUAUAUAACUUUUAAUAUUUCAGUGAUAAAUUGACUUAAAAUGAUAUUGUUUUCAGAAGUAAACUAGAGAUAACCAAAUUUUUUAAGUGUAUAACCACAAUUUUACAAAGGCGUAACCACGUUUUUUCCAUGCAUUCAAAAUUGGUCAUCUAUAAGUUUACCAUGCUCAUAACAGAAAACUAAUGCAAUUAUGAGUUCAAGAAACAUAGAAUAUACAUCUCUUGAUAUUUUAAUGAUAAAUUGUCAUAUAGUGGUAUUAUUUUAGCAGGAAAACUAUAUAUAACCAAAUAUUUGAAGCGUGUAACCACAAUUUUACAAACAUGUCACCAUGUUUUUUCCCGCGUUCAAAAUUGGUCAUAAGUUUACCAAAUCAUGUUUUAUCACGGAAGUUAGGGUAUGUCGGACUAUUAACACCUUUUAUAAGCUGCGAGUAUUGCACGCAAAUGGACGGACAACUUACAAAUUCGGGAAAAUAAUGGUCACGCACCUGAAAAAUUGUGGUCAGACAGACCAAAUAUUUGGCNNNNNNNNNNNNNNNNNNNNNNNNNNNNNNNNNNNNNNNNNNNNNNNNNNNNNNNNNNNNNNNNNNNNNNNNNNNNNNNNNNNNNNNNNNNNNNNNNNNNCCCAUACGUAUUCCNAANUUGCUAGGCUUCGGUACCCUGAGUGUCUGAUGCUGAAAAUGGUCGUAACAUGCGGGCGGUGUAGUUUUUGAGCAUUUGAGAAUUAGGGUUAAGAGUGAUGAUUGUGAUGAUUUUGAAUGAAAGUGAAGUUGAAUAAUAUAGGUUGCUUUUUCUGAUUUUUCUUUUCAUCUCUGCCCCAAAUUUGAAAUGAAAACUGGUAUUGAUUGGUACAUAAUUGGUCCUAGGUAUAAACACGAAAGUUGUAGGUAUGGAUGUUAGCUUUCUAAUGCCAUUAGUCUGACGUCAAAACGAUUUAUAGAACUUGAGUUAUCGUCAAAUUACUGCACGUAGGUCACAGUGAAUUUUUAUGAAUUUCAGCACAACUUUGUCCGAAUUUGAAAUGAAAACUGGUAUUGAUUGGUACAAAAUUGGUCUUAGGUGUAAACACGAAAGUUGUAGGUAUGCUAGAUUUCUAAUGCCGUUGGUUUGACUUCAAAAGGAUUUAUAGAACUUGAGUUAUGGUCAAAUUACUGCACGUAGGUCACAGUGAAUAAUUGAAUAUGAUUGAUGAAUUAGUAUAUGUAUGUAUAUGUUUGUGAAUACGAUAUUGUCCAUGAUUGAUGAAGUGUUAUAUGUAUAUAUGAUGAUUUGAUGUUGUUAUAUUGUGAUAUAAUUGUAUAUGCAUUAUUUGAAUUAUAUGUGAAAUAUUUAAGAUAUUGUUGAAUUGCAAUUGAUAUUUUUAUGUGUUGCUGUUGAUGUAAUCUGCCUAUGCUGCUAUUGUUAUUUAACUAAGUUGCAUGAGUCAGUCUAAGUUGAUUAAGAUGUUGAUAAUGAUGUUCCAAAUUAUUGGACUAUUUAAGAGGUCGUCGAAUUAAGAUGUUUAAGAGGUCGAGUCCAUGCAUUAGCAUUCAGCGAUUGGGGCUUGAUGCUCCGGAAGUAUAAUAUAACUCAAAUAGCGAUUGUGGCUUGAUGCUCCGGAAGUAUAAUAAUACUCAAAUAGCGAUUGGGGCUUGAUGCUCCGGAAGUAUAAUAAUACUCAAAUAGCGAUUGGGACUUGAUGCCCCGUAUUGGUACCACAUGCAUAUGAGAGGUCUAAGUUGCAUAAUCGAGUUGGAGUCGCAUUUGUCGAGUCAAGGAUGUUUAUGUGGAUAAGUUGUGAAGUUGUAAUUGUUUAUACAAACUAUGAUUGAAGUGUUAAAUGAUAUAUUAUGAUCUAUAAAGAAUGUUAAGAUGUUUUUGAUGUUGAUUAAAUAUAAUUGUUGAAUUAUAUGCUUAAUAGUAUUGUUUUGUGAAAUCUCACCCCUUCUGCUUGGAAAUGUUGCUCUACGUAUGAGUAACUUGCAGGUAAUCAAGAAUAGUUGAUGUCGUGUGAGCUUUCUCUCUCGUGUGUCUUAGGUGCUCUGAUACGUAACGGGAUGGGAACUUUGUUAUUGCUUUUCUAUUCCUUACAUAUUGUUUUUGAAGAUUUAUGACUAUGUUUUAGAUUGAAUUUUUAUGAGACAAAUAUGAAGAGGCCUUCGUGCCAAAGACUAUUUUAGAUGUUUGAAUAAAUCCCGCUGCGAAGUAUUAAACAUUAUGUUAUUGCAUUUUGAAGGAUAAUUAGUUAAUUAUUCCGUUUAUAAUUUUAAGAAAAGAAGUGUAACAUUCCGUUUAUGUGAAUUACUCUGAUUAAUUAAAUGAAAUUUUUAUGUUGGGAAAACGGGGUGUUACAGCAUCCACUUGUUUACAUGAACUAUAUGAAAAAAUCCAUCAUAUAACUAAAAUACAAACACAUGUUACAAUCACACCUUUUUCACAAAAACUAAAGAUCGUUCUAGAGAUAAUAUAGUGACAAGUUAAUGUAAUAUAGUGACAAGUUAAUGUUUUCCUAUGUUUGUUAUGAUAGGCAUACUAACAAAAAAUUAUAUGCACUUAGCCAUAUUUUAACAAAGACGUAACCACAUUUUUUUCUUCAAAUUUUUAGCACUUGACCAUUUUUUAACAAAAGUGUGACCACAAUUCUUUUGAUUAAGAGUUUGACACUAACUCUCUACGUGAUAUCAUUUAGAGGAACAACCAAAGACAGACUAAAUAAUUUGGGGAAACCUUAUGAUUGUUUACUAACAAUAAUACAAUGAUAAAUGAAUGUUCUUCUAUGUAUAACAUGUUUAACAUGUUUCAAACAAACUAACUUAAAAUAGAUUCACUUAACCAACACAAAUUACCAUCCCAAACACAUAUGCAAUUCCCAUCAAGUGCAAGCAUCAACAUAAUAAGAGCCUCUGAAACUAUAUGUUGCAAAUAUCAUAUAGACAAGGAGCUAAAAUGAGGCAAUCCGAAAAUAGCUACAAAGAUUUUAAAAACAUUCUGAACUGAACAUCUUAAUACUAUGAUUGAGAGGAAAAUAAAUUAGUAAAAACUUAUGGACAAUAUUAGUAAAAAUCAUACAUAAAAUGAGAAGCAAAAUAAAUUGAGAGGAAGACUAACCUACAGUUGAUAUAGUAUUAGUAAAACUCAUACCAUAGUAUUGGGAAGUUUAGGGAGGUAGACCCUUUCAAAUGAAUUGAGCCACCCAUUAAGAAGAUUGAAAGUUUUCCCUUGUUAAGUGGCAUAUGUUACGGUGUUAGUAAAACUUACAAAUGAUAGGUAAAGUUUCAAAGCUUUUCUUGAUACUUUAACUCAUCAUUCAUUAACAUGAAUUUUUAGCGCCAUUAAAAAUGCUUUCUCAAACUAAAAAUAUCACUUUAUUUUCACUUAGCUAAUUUUUAUAUUUUCACCGUUUAUAUACAUCUAUUUGAAACUAAAAAUGGGACAUGGUAUUGACACACAAAGAUUGUCAUACAAAUAUUUGAAACUAAAAAUGGGACAUGAUAUUGACACACAAAGAUUGUCAUGAACUAACCGAACAACAAAAGAAAUAUUAAAAAAAUGGAAGAAUCAUACACAAACUAAAUUGAAGUUAUUAGAAAUCAAAGGGAUUCUGCACCAAUGUGAUUCUUUCAAAAUUAGAAAUCAAAUUACAAAUUUACAAUUCAAUCUUCUCACAAACACAUAUCAACAUGUGUAGUCGUAUAUAAACAACAGUGAAUCCCAAAUUGUGUUCUCAAAUGAAACGAAAAAACACUGAUUCUAAAUGAAUCUCACAGAAAAUGAAAAAACAAUGACAAUGAGGUAAAUCUCAAACAAAAACAUAAUUGAGAAUAUUAGGAUUUUCAAUCCUGAAGAAAACACUGCAAAAUUAAACUGAAGAAAUCAUACUGGUUUGUGAAGAGGGAGAAGCUGAUGAAUAUGUGCGUUGAGAGGUUUGGAUCUCGUUUUCUUCGGCUUUAGAGUGUGGCGGCGAUGACGAAUCAACACAAACUUGAUAUUAAAUCGUCGGCAUGGUGGAAUUUGUGUGUUGCAGAUGGUGGUGAGAGAGAUCUGUUUUGGGUUUAGAGAGAGAAAGGAGAAGAGGACAAUGAAAGAGAAAAUGGUAAAAUAUCUAAAAUAUCCCUGCCACAUAAGGGGUGUUGACAAGUG
rnacentral:lncRNA from 1 species